rnacentral:rRNA from 1 species
UACGUAGGGUGCGAGCGUUAAUCGGAAUUACUGGGCGUAAAGCGUGCGCAGGCGGUUCGUUGUGUCGGUGGUGAAAGCCCCGGGCUUAACCUGGGAAUGGCCAUGGAAACUGGCGAACUGGAGUGUGGAAGAGGCGAGUGGAAUUCCUGGUGUAGCGGUGGAAUGCGCAGAUAUCAGGAGGAACACCGAUGGCGAAGGCAGGUCUCUGGGCAUUAACUGACGCUGAGGAGCGAAAGCAUGGGGAGCGAACAGG